rnacentral:lncRNA from 1 species
GGAGAGAAAAAAAAGCAAGCCAUAGACUGGGACAAAAUGUUUUCCAUCUAUAAUACAUGAUAUAUAUACUUAUGUGGACACAUAUUUGUAUACCAGUGAUUAAACACUGGUACACAAAUAUAUAAAGUACCUGUAUUAGUCAGGGUUCUCUAGAGAGACAGAACUAAUGGAAUAUAUAUAUAUAUAUAUAUAUACAUAUAUAUAUAUACGUAUAUAUAUACAUAUAUGUACAUAUAUAUACGUAUAUAUAUAUAUAUACAUACACACACACACACACGAAGGGGAGUUUAUUAAGUAUUAAUUCACACAAUCACAAGAUUCCACAAUAGGUCGUCUGCAGGCUGAGGAGCAAGGACAGCCAGUCUGAGUUUUAAAACUGAAGAACUUGGAGCCCAAUGUUUGAGGGUAGGAAGCAUCCAGUGCAGGAGAAAGAUGUAGGCUGAGAGGCUAGGCCAGUCUCUCUUUUCACAUUUUUCUGCCUGCUUAUAUGCUGGCCGGGCUGACAGGUGAUUAGAAGGUGCCCACCUAAAAGCUGGCAUCACAUACUAUACAAAGUUAUAUCAAUUUGAAACUCCAAAUAUACCAUUUUUGUCCUACUUGACUAACAUCUACUUAUUUUAGGAUGAAUAAUUGUUGCAUUAAAUUAUCAGUUUUUAUAUUCUUUUUAGUACAUUAUUGAGAGGUUAUUAAAACAGAGACACUUGAUUUCUAGUGGUCUUCCAAUUUUUCUUGGAGACUUUCUAAGUAAGCCCAACAAUUU